UAACCGUAUAGGGGAGCCGGAGGGAAACCGAGUCUUAACCGGGCGUUAAGUUGCAGGGUAUAGACCCGAAACCCGGUGAUCUAGCCAUGGGCAGGUUGAAGGUUGGGUAACACUAACUGGAGGACCGAACCGACUAAUGUUGAAAAAUUAGCGGAUGACCUGUGGCUGGGGGUGAAAGGCCAAUCAAACCGGGAGAUAGCUGGUUCUCCCCGAAAGCUAUUUAGGUAGCGCCUCGUGAACUCAUCUCCGGGGGUAGAGCACUGUUUCGGCUAGGGGGCCAUCCCGGCUUACCAACCCGAUGCAAACUGCGAAUACCGGAGAAUGUUAUCACGGGAGACACACGGCGGGUGCUAACGUCCGUCGUGAAGAGGGAAACAACCCAGACCGCCAGCUAAGGUCCCAAAGUCAUGGUUAAGUGGGAAACGAUGUGGGAAGGCCCAGACAGCCAGGAUGUUGGCUUAGAAGCAGCCAUCAUUUAAAGAAAGCGUAAUAGCUCACUGGUCGAGUCGGCCUGCGCGGAAGAUGUAACGGGGCUAAACCAUGCACCGAAGCUGCGGCAGCGAACGUAUCACUUAAAGCGAUUCAGCGGGUUACGAUUGACGGAGCGAAGCGACGUCAAAGCGUAUACAAAGUCGAGUCGGUUUAAGGAUACGUUCGUUGGGUAGGGGAGCGUUCUGUAAGCCUGCGAAGGUGGCCUGUGAGGGU
rnacentral:rRNA from 1 species